rnacentral:lncRNA from 1 species
AGGAUGGUAGGAGAGAAACUUAAGGGUUACAUCAACUUGUAGUUCAUAUGUCCUAGUUGCUCAGAAGUAUAAAACAAGUUGCCACAAAUUCUGAUUGUGAAAGGACAAAACUUUGUAAUAAGUACUGCCAUCAACCGAUCCAUAUAUAUUACUACCACCAAAAUGAAAGUAUUCUUUGUCCAUGUUUGCUUCACCUUGCUUAGAAAACAUGUCCACAUGUUUGAAUGCUAGAGAGUUUAACAAAAGAUUUACCUUGUCAAAAAAAAUUUAAAAAGAAAUACAAUAAUAAUCAUCUAUGUUGAAGGUAUAGGCUAAUCUAGUUGGUAAUUUUUUUUUUGGUAUAUCGGUAGCUCACAUCAAACGAGCAUAAGUGCCACCCGCAGCAUCAAGAGAAAGAAAACGACAUAAAGGUAAUGGGGCAAUUGCCAUCUCAGUCCAUGAUACCUCUCCGAAAUGAUGAGCAGCAUAAGAGGCAACCCAAUCUACAGCCUUGUUCGCCUCUUGAAAUACAUGGACAACCUGGAUCGAGCGGCAACCAGACACCAGCCUCUAUAUGUCCCUAAGUAUGGGGUGACCCUC